rnacentral:rRNA from 1 species
UAGGGAAUCUUCCACAAUGGACGCAAGUCUGAUGGAGCAACGCCGCGUGAGUGAAGAAGGUUUUCGGACCGUAAAGCUCUGUUGUUGGUGAAGAAGGAUAGAGGUAGUAACUGGCCUUUUAUUUGACGGUAAUCAACCAGAAAGUCACGGCUAACUACGUGCCAGCAGCCGCGGUAAUACGUAGGUGGCAAGCGUUGUCCGGAUUUAUUGGGCGUAAAGCGAGCGCAGGCGGAAGAAUAAGUCUGAUGUGAAAGCCCUCGGCUUAACCGAGGAAUUGCAUCGAAACUG